GAAAUCACUUCUAUCUUUGCUUGCUAGUUGCUCGCUCUUUUGCUAUGCCUAUGCUGUGAUACCUACCACUUGCUUAUCAUGCCUCCCAUGUUGUUAAACAAAGCGUCUAACCCACCUUGCCCUAGCAAACCAUUGUUUGGCUAUGUUCCCGCUUUUCUCAGCCCCUCUUAUAGCGUUUUUAGUUGCAGGUGAAGAUUGAAGCUUGUUCCAUGUUGGAACAUGGAUAUUUUGUUGGGAUAUCACAAUAUCUCUUACUUAAUUAAUGCAUCUAUAUACUUGGUAAAGGGUGGAAGGCUCGGCCUUAUGCCCGGUGAAAGCACAAGUGCUCCCUAGGUGGUUUUGAUAAUUCAUGACAACAUAUCUCUUGUUGGACUAACAUUUCUAUCUAGCAUGUUUCAGAUAAGUUCAACAAUGGAGUGGCAUGGACUAAAGGUUGUGGGAACUCCUUCAAAAUGCUAAGGACAAAGGAUUGGCUCAAGCUCAAAAGGUCAAGACUCUUCAUUUUAUAUUUUAGUGAUCCAAGAUCACAUUGAGUCUUUAGGAAAAGCCAAUACUAUCAAGGAGGGAUGAGGUGUUGCUUAAUGAGCCUCUUGCUUCAUGUGCUUAGUGAUAUGCUCCAAAACCCUCAACUACUUUCCCAUAUCCACAUAUGACCUAAACCCUAAGCCAAACUCGGUCCUACCGAUUCUUUCUAUCCGGCGCCACCGAGUUUCACUUGUCAUAAGCCACUGCCAAACCCUAGCAAUUCAGUUCUACCGAUAGGGAUCUCGGUCUCACCGAGAUGGGAUUGCAAACUCUCUGUUUCCCUUUCGUAACUUUUCGGUCUCACCGAAAGAGCGAAUCGGUCCCACCGAGAUUGCAGUGUAAACUCUUUGUUUCCUUUUUGUAACUUUUCGGUCUCACUGAAAGAACAAAUCGGUCCCACCGAGUUUACCUGACCAACUCUCUGGUUAGCUUAUUACCAAACUCGGUCUCACCGAGUUUGUGUAAUCGGUCUCACCGAGAUUAUGUUAUGCCCAAACCCUAACCAUAUCGGUCCUACCGAGUUGCAUGUCAGUCCCACCAAAAAUCUCUAACGGUCACUAGGUUUACCUUUUCGGUCCGACCGAGUUUGUUGAUUCGGUCCCACCGAGAUUGGAAAACUGUGUGUAAUGGUUGGAUUUUGUGUGGAGGCUAUAUAUACCCCUCCACCUCCUCUUCAUUCGUGGAGAGAGCCAUCAGAACACAUACACAAUUCCAACUCAUAUGUUCUGAGAGAGAACCACCUACUCAUGUGUUGAGACCAAGAUAUUCCAUUCCUACCAUAUGAAUCUUGAUCUCUAGCCUUCCCCAAGUUGCUUUCCACUCAAAUCUUCUUUCCACCAGAUCCAAAUCCUAUGAGAGAGAGUUGAGUGUUGGGGAGACUAUCAUUUGAAGCACAAGAGCAAGGAGUUCAUUACCUACACACCAUUUGUUACUUCUUGGAGAGUGGUGUCUCCUAGAUUGGCUAGGUGUCACUUGGGAGCCUCCGACAAGAUUGUGGAGUUGAACCAAGGAGUUUGUAAGGGCAAGGAGAUCGCCUACUUCGUGAAGAUCUACCGCUAGUGAGGCAAGUCCUUCGUGGGCGAUGGCCAUGGUGGGAUAGACAAGGUUGCUACUUCGUGGACCCUUUGUGGGUGGUUGCUUCUUCGUGGACCCUUUGUGGGUGGUUGCUUCUUCGUGGACCCUUUGUGGGUGGUUGCUUCUUCAUGGACCCUUCGUGGGUGGAUCCCUUCGUGGACUCACGCAACCGUUACCCUUCGUGGGUGGAGCCCUCCGUGGACUCGCGCAACUGUUACCCUUCGUGGGUGGAGCCCUCCGUGGACUCGCGCAACCGUUACCCUUCGUGGGUUGAAGUCUCCAUCAACGUGGAUGUAGGAUAGCACCACCUAUCCGAACCAUGAGAAAAACAUCCGUGUCUCCAAUUGCGUUUGAAUUCUCCAAACCCUUCCCCUUACAUUCUUGCAAGUUGCAUGCUUUACAUUCCGCUGCUCAUAUACUCUUUGCAUGCUUGCUUGAUAUGUAUUGUGUAUGUUGAAAUUGUGCCUAAAACUCCACUCAAACCAAAAAGGCCUAAAAAUUGCAACUUAAGCACUAAGUGUCUAAUCACCCCCCCUCUAGACACAUCUACUUCUAGAUCCUACAAGUGGUAUCAGAGCCAGGUUUCCAUUGCCUUGGUUUAAUCACCAUUGGAGGAAGAUGGAUGUGUCUACCUUAGGGAGUCUUAGACAUAGAGUGCCUAUUCUUGAUGGAGAGUAUUUUCAUGAGUGGAAAAAUGAGAUGCUUGUAAUUUUCAAUCAAUAUCAUUUGAACAAGUAUAUUGCUAGCCCUUGUGCACCUCAUAUUGAUCCUUUGCAUCCUACCCUAGAUGAAGAUAUUGACAUGAUUCGCAAUCUUAGAACUAUUGAGCUCAUAAUUAGAGGAUUGCCCAAAAAUUUGAUUGCUAGUUUGCCUACUCUUCAUUGUGCCUAUACUAUAUGGAAAUUUCUUGAGGAACGAUUUCCCGAUCAUUCCUUGAAAACUUUCGAUGAAAUUCUCCAUAAAUCUAUUGCCUUGAGUAAGAUGAACUCUAGUGAUCCUAGUUUUGGUAAUUGUCUAUUUGAACUUACCAAUCUUAAGCAUGCUAAAGGAGAUGUUGGAAUCAUUAGUGAUAUCAUAUUCGAAGCUAUAAGAAUUGAUAAAAGUGACCACUUUGAUGAUCAUUUAUCUAAUGAAUUACCCUCUCUAGGAAAUGAUGAGUCACAAGAUCAUGAUGAACAUGGAUACUAUGAUGAUGAUGAUGAUAGUGACUUCGAUCUUGAUGAUGCAAUGAGACAUUUUGUUCUUAUGGCAAAUCUUCGGGGAUAUGAAUCAGGAGGAAAGGAAUGGGUUCUUGAUAGUGGAUGUACUGAUCAUAUGACCGGAGAUGAAGAGAUGUUUCGUGAGCUUGCUGAAAAUGACGGCCCUCGAGAAUAUGUCACCUUUGGUGAUAAUUCAAAGGGUAAAGUGGUUGGCCUUGGUAAGGUGGCCAUCUCACAUGAUAGUUCCAUUCAAAAUGUCAUGCUCGUUGAAUCUCUCGGCUACAACUUACUUUCAGUAUCUAGACUUGCUGAUUUCGGUUUGAAUGUCCUAUUUACUGAGGUAGAUUGCCAAGUAUUUCGUCGAGACAAUCAUAAAAUGGUCUUUACCGGUAUGCGUAGAGGUGAUCUUUACAUUGUCGAUUUCUCUAAAAAGGCACAACCUAAAACUUGCUUUGUUGCUAAAUCCUCAAAAGGUUGGUUGUGGCAUAAACGACUAGGUCACGUUGGCAUGAGAAACCUUGACAAUCUUAUUAAAGGAAAUCAUAUCCUUGGAGUUAACGAUGUCAUAUUUGAUAAGGAUAGACUUUGCAGUGCUUGUCAAGCAGGUAAACAGGUUGAAGGAAGACAUCCCGUGAAGAACAUCAUGACCACAAGGAGGCCACUCGAUCUACUUCAUAUGGAUCUUUUUGGUCCCAACGCCUACAAGAGUCUCGGUGGAAAUUCUUUUGGUCUAGUUAUAGUUGAUGAUUUUUCAAGAUUUACGUGGGUGUUCUUUCUUAAUGACAAGUCGCAGGUCCAGAAGAUCUUCAAAAACUUCGCUAGGAAGGCCCAAAAUCAGUUUGACGUGAAGAUCAAGAAGGUUCGGAGUGACAACGGAACGGAGUUCAAGAACGCAAAUGUGGACACCUUUCUUGACGAAGAAGGGAUUUCACACGAGUUCUCGGCUACGUACACACCUCAACAAAAUGGAGUCGUUGAGAGGAAGAACCGGACGCUCAUCGAAAUGGCAAGAACGAUGCUUGAUGAAUACAAGACGCCGAAGCACUUUUGGGCAGAAGCGGUUGAGACAGCUUGUCACGCAACAAAUCGCUUAUAUCUUCACAAGCUACUCGGCAAGACGGCAUACGAGCUUCUCACCGGUAACAAACCCCAAGUUGGAUACUUUUGAGUAUUCGGCUCAAAGUGCUACAUUCUUGAUAAGCAUCGUCGUUCAAAGUUUUCUCCUAAAUCUCAUGAAGGUUUUCUACUUGGUUAUGGCUCAAACUCUCACACUUACCGUGUCUACAACAAUUUCACCCGAAAGGUUGAAGAGACGGUAGAUGUGAAGUUUGAUGAAUCUAAUGGCUCGCAAGUAGAGCAAUUGCCAAUUGAUGUAGGAGACAAAGACCCUUCAGAAGCAAUCCAAGACUUGUCCAUUGGCAAAAUUCGUCCAACGGAGGUGAAGGAGAGUACUUCAUCCGUCCAAGUGGAAGCUUCUACUUCACGACAAGGUGAACCAAGAAUUAACACGGAAGCAUCCACAAGUGGGACACACCAAGAUGAAGAAAACGAGGAAAUGCAUCAAGACGAACAUCAACAACCUCCUUCUCCACCACGACAAGAGAACGAUGACGUCAACAAUGAAGAAGGCCAAGAAGAAGAACAAGAUGAAGAAGAUGUUCAACGAAGACCCAAGCAAAAGCUCUCACGAGUUCGAGCAAGAAUUGCCAAAGAUCAUCCCGUGGAGCAAAUCCUCAAUGAUAUACAAACUGGGAGAAUCACUCGCUCAAAAACUCGUUUAGCUCACUUUUGUGAAAACUAUUCAUUCAUCUCUAGCAUUGAACCUAUGAAGGUUGAAGAAGCAUUGGAAGAUCCGAAUUGGAUAAACACUAUGCAUGAAGAGCUACACAACUUUGAGAGAAACCAAGUUUGGACAUUGGUUGAGAAGCCCGACAACAACCACAACAUCAUUGGUACAAAAUGGGUGUUUCGCAACAAGCAAGAUGAAGAUGGACAAGUGGUUCGCAACAAAGCACGUCUCGUCGCCCAAGGGUACACACAAGUCGAAGGUAUGGACUAUGGUGAGACAUAUGCUCCCAUUGCUAGACUUGAGUCCAUUCGCAUCUUACUUGCCUAUGCUAAUCACCAUAAUAUCACCUUGUACCAAAUGGACGUUAAAAGUGCUUUUCUAAAUGGUUAAAUAGAGGAGGAAGUUUAUGUGAAACAACCUCCCGGCUUUAUCAAUCCUAAGAAACCAAAUCAUGUUUACAAACUUCACAAAGCUCUUUAUGGUCUUAAACAAGCUCCUAGAGCAUGGUAUAAAUGCUUGACCAAGUUCCUUAUUACAAGUGGUUUUGAAAUUGGUAAAAUUGUACUCUUUUUACUAAAAGGGUUAAUGGAGAACUAUUUGUAUGCCAAAUUUAUGUUGAUGAUAUCAUAUUUGGUUCAACUAACCCUCUCUUUAGUGAAAAGUUUGGAAAGCUUAUGUCAGAGAAGUUUGAGAUGUCUAUGAUGAGUGAACUCAAAUUCUUUCUCGGUUUGCAAAUCAAGCAAACUAAGGAAGGUACAUUUGUCUCUCAAACGAAGUACACCAAGGACUUAUUCAAGAAGUUCAAUAUGCAAGAAUGCAAAGGUAUGUCUACACCCAUGCCUACUAGUGGACAUAAUGAUUUGACCAAAGAUGGUGAACCGGUUGAUCAAAAGGUUUAUCGCUCUAUGAUUGGUUCAUUGUUAUACCUAUGUGCUUCACGUCCCGAUAUUAUGCUAAGCGUGUGCAUGUGUGCACGAUAUCAAGCUGCUCCUAAAGAAUGUCAUCUUAAGGCUGUGAAAAGGGUAGUGAGAUAUUUAAUCCAUACACCAAAUUUUGGCAUUUGGUAUCCUAAGAGGUCUUCUUUUGAUCUUGUUGGCUAUUCCGACUCGGAUAUGCCGGAGACAAGGUUGAUGGAAAGUCCACUUCGGGUACUUGUAAUUUCUUGGUAGAUCUCUUGUGUCUUGGUCUUCCAAGAAACAAAACUCGGUAUCCUUAUCCACCGCCGAAGCGGAAUACAUUGCCGCUGGUUCAUGUUGUGCUCAAUUACUUUGGAUGACCCAAACUCUUAAAGAUUAUGGGAUUUAUGUGAAACAUGUUCCACUGCUUUGUGACAAUGAAAGUGCUAUCAAAAUUGGUCAUAAUCCUGUACAACAUUCUCGAACUAAGCAUAUUGAAGUUCGUCAUCAUUUCAUUCGAGACCAUGUUGCUAAGGGUGACAUUAAUCUUAAGCACGUUUGCACCGAUAAGCAAUUAGCGGAUAUAUUUACUAAACCUCUUGAUGAGAAAGUAUUUUGCAGGUUGAGAGGUGAAUUGAACAUCAUUGAUGCUUCGAACUUGGAGUAGAAACUCCAUUGGAUACAUGCAAGACAUGAGCUUAUGACUAAUCCAUGAUAUAUCUCUUAUGAUGACUAUCUUAUGUCUUGGAUAUAUUUGUACCUUGCAUGUUGUCUAACCCAUGUAGGUGCUUGGUUGAAUCUAAUUCCAUGAGAUUGCGACUCACUCACAUCUUGAUCAAUCUCUACAUCACCAAGACUCUACACAAUGGUGGUUGAAGACAAGGAAGCACAAAACCAUUCAAACAUAUCCUUUAACAAAUUCUAUGUUGAGCUUCAUGAUUGUCAUUUUUGGUUACACAAGUGCUCUUCCUUGCAAGAACUAACCCAUGUAGGUAGAUGAACUCAAACUCCAAGUGGUGCUCCCAACUCUUGAUGAGCUACAUCAACCUUGAGCACCCACACAAGUUCAACUACAUAAGCAAGAACCACACCACCACCCAAGGUAUGUUAUUCCAUCUUAGAGAAGCGUUACUCCAAGACAUGAGUCAAAGCAACUCAACAAGAUGUGAAUACAUCAAGAUGCUUAAACUAAAAAUGGUAACCCCAUUUUGAGCUUAAACGAUGAGUAUGACCUAUGAUCAAGUGUUCUCACUUGACUCCUAAGUCAAUAUACUCUAACAUAGGUGAUUAUGUCACCGCCCAACUCUAGAUGAAGUUCUCUUGUGUUCUUUUCUGUGUUAUUGCAUUUGUCUCAUGCAUGUUUAGUUUCUUUCUCUUUUUCAAAAAAAAAAUCCAUCUAGAUUUUUCAGUCUCUUCUCUUUUCUUUCUGUUUAUGUUCUGCAUUUUCUGCAUUUAAUUCCUUGCAAAUCCUUUAGGUAAUUCAUUGCAAAUCUUUGUGAGAUCCUACAUGUCUAGUGAGUUGAGGUGACAAGUGUUUUUCUCUGUGUGAACUCGGUUUCACCGACUUGUAAUUUUCGGUCCAACCGAAUCUUUUCGGUGCCACCGAAACAUACCACUCGGUGCCACCGACUUCACAACACCACUUGUUCUAUAUUUCUUCUGAUCCAGCUCUACUCAAUGAAUCUUGUCCUCUACAAGCAUCACAGUUUUAUCCUUUGCUUUGUGCUGAGUCUCAAGGACCAAACCUAUACGACGGAUUCCAGAAAGCCCUUCUUGGAAAUUGAUGUCAAAGGGGGAGAGAGAGAUCACAUCAAAGCUUGUAGGAGAGAGAGAUCACAUCAAGGGAGAGAAAAAGUCUCAAGGACCAAACCUACAAGAGAGAAAGUAUUAAGGGGGAGAGAGAGACUUCCAGGGGGAGAGAAUACUCUUGGGGACUUACAUUUCUUCUCCCAAUAUCCCAUGUAAGAUUCAGGGGGAGCAAGACACCUAAGGGAAAGAAAUCAGUCAAAUUCAUUGCAUAUCUUUAUUCUUGGGGACAUGUUGAAUCCAAUGUGGUACCUUGUACUCACUCUCUACAUCUCAUCCCAGUCUUGGUAUUCUUGUGGUUUCUUUUGUUUGCUCUGGCUAGUGGAUGUACCUGUGUUAUCUAACUUUGUUUGUGCAGGUUCAUUCCAUCCUAAGCCAACUCAAGACCACAAGGUAAAUAUAUGCAUCAAAAUCAUGAGUAUGAGGAGUUCUUGCUUAUGUACAUACUGUUUGCAAGAAGGACUCAUGAGCAUGAAGGUAUUUUCCUUGAUAAUCUUUUGCUCUGAUGCAUAUGGCCAAGAUACAUGUAACACAUUGCCUACUUUGUCAUGGUUAUGCUUUCACAUGCCUCUAUCUUUAUUCACAUGAUGCUUGUUACAUGUCCUUCCAAAGCUUUACUUGCUGUUCUUUAUAUCUUUAUCUAAAGCUUUGAUGUAUGUUGCCAUCAAUUACCAAAAAGAGGGAGAUUGAAAGCACAAGUAAUCCCUAGGUGGUUUCGAUAAUUGAUGACAACAUAUCUCUUGUUGGACUAACAUUUCUAUCUAGCAUGUUUCAGAUAAGUUCAACAAUGGAGUGGCAUGGACUAAAGGUUGUGGGAACUCCUUCAAAAUGCUAAGGACAAAGGAUUGGCUCAAGCUCAAAAGCUCAAGACUCUUCAUUUUAUAUUUUAGUGAUCCAAGAUCACAUUGAGUCUUUAGGAAAAGCCAAUACUAUCAAGGAGGGAUGAGGUGUUGCUUAAUGAGCCUCUUGCUUCAUGUGCUUAGUGAUAUGCUCCAAAACCCUCAACUACUUUCCCAUAUCCACAUAUGACCUAAACCCUAAGCCAAACUCGGUCCUACCGAUUCUUUCUAUCCGGCACCACCGAGUUUCACUUGUCAUAAGCCACUGCCAAACCCUAGCAAUUCGGUUCUACCGAUAGGGAUCUCGGUCUCACCGAGAUGGGAUUGCAAACUCUCUGUUUCCCUUUCAUAACUUUUCGGUCUCACUGAAAGAGCGAAUCGGUCCCACCGAGAUUGCAGUGUAAACUCUUUGUUUCCUUUUUGUAACUUUUCGGUCUCACCGAAAGAGCAAAUCGGUCCCACCGAGUUUACCUGACCAACUCUCUGGUUAGCUUAUUACCAAACUCGGUCUCACCGAGUUUGUGUAAUCGGUCUCACCGAGAUUGCGUUAUGCCCAAACCCUAACCAUAUCGGUCCUACCGAGUUGCAUGUCAGUCCCACCGAAAAUCUCUAACGGUCACUAGGUUUACCUUUUCGGUCCGACCGAGUUUGUUGAUUCGGUCCCACUGAGAUUGGAAAACUAUGUGUAACGGUUGGAUUUUGUGUGGAGGCUAUAUAUACCCCUCCACCUCCUCUUCAUUCGUGGAGAGAGCCAUCAGAACACAUACACAAUUCCAACUCAUAUGUUCUGAGAGAGAACCACCUACUCAUGUGUUGAGACCAAGAUAUUCCAUUCCUACCAUAUGAAUCUUGAUCUCUAGCCUUCCCCAAGUUGCUUUCCACUCAAAUCUUCUUUCCACCAGAUCCAAAUCCUAUGAGAGAGAGUUGAGUGUUGGGGAGACUAUCAUUUGAAGCACAAGAGCAAGGAGUUCAUUACCUACACACCAUUUGUUACUUCUUGGAGAGUGGUGUCUCCUAGAUUGGCUAGGUGUCACUUGGGAGCCUCCGACAAGAUUGCGGAGUUGAACCAAGGAGUUUGUAAGGGCAAGGAGAUCGCCUACUUUGUGAAGAUCUACCGCUAGUGAGGCAAGUCCUUCGUGGGCGAUGGCCAUGGUGGGAUAGACAAGGUUGCUACUUCGUGGGCCCUUUGUGGGUGGUUGCUUCUUCGUGGACCCUUUGUGGGUGGUUGCUUCUUCGUGGAUCCUUCGUGGGUGGAUCCCUCCAUGGACUCGUGCAACCGUUACUCUUCGUGGGUGGAGCCCUCCGUGGACUCGCGCAACCGUUACCCUUCGUGGGUUGAAGUCUCCAUCAACGUGGAUGUAGGAUAGCACCACCUAUCCGAACCACGGUAAAAACAUCUGUGUCUCCAAUUGCGUUUGAAUUCUCCAAACCCUUCCCCUCACAUUCUUGCAAGUUGCAUGCUUUACAUUCCGCUGCUCAUAUACUCUUUGCAUGCUUGCUUGAUAUGUAUUGUGUAUGUUGAAAUUGUGCCUAAAACUCCACUCAAACCAAAAAGGCCUAAAAAUUGCAACUUUAGCACUAAGUGUCUAAUCACCCCCCCUCUAGACACAUCUACUUCUAGAUCCUACACCUGGUGUUUUGUUCCACUCUUGCCGCCCUAGUUUUCGUCAUAUCAGUGUUAUGUUCCCAGAUUUUGCGUUCCUUACGCGGUUGGGUUAUAAUGGGAACCCCUUGACAGUUCGCCUUGAAUAAAACUCCUCCAGCAAGGCCCAACAUUGGUUUUACCAUUUGCCACCUAGCCUUUUUCUUUCCCUUGAGUCGGCCGGCUCAAGGGUCAUCUUUAUUUUAACCCCCCCGGGCCAGUGCUUCUCUAAGUGUUGGUCCAACUGAGCGAUGUCCGAGGCUACCAGGGGCAACUCUGGGCUGGCUUACCCGACGUCUGGAUCAUCCGGUGUGCCCUGAGAACGAGAUAUGUGCAGCUCCUAUCGGGAUUUGUCGGCACAUCUGGGUGGCUUUGCUGGUCUUGUUUCACCAUUGUCGAAAUGUCUGGUAACCGAGAUUCCGAGUCUGAUCGGGUCUUCCCGCUAGAAGGAAUAUCCUUCGUUAACCGUGAGAGCUUGUGAUGGGCUAAGUUGGGACACCCCUGCAGGGAUUUGAACUUUCGAAAGCCAUGCCUGCGGUUAUGGGCAGAUGGGAAUUUGUUAAUGUCCGGUUGUAGAAAACCUGAAGUUGACCUUAAUUAAAAUACAUCAACCGCGUGUGUUACCGUGAUGGUCUCUUUCCGGCGGUGUCCGGGAAGUGAACAUGGUGUUGGAGUUAUGCUUGACGUAGGUUGUUCUAGGAUCUCUUCUUGAUCAUAGUUUCUCGACCGUGCUUUGCCUUCUCUUCUCGCUCCCAUUUGCGUAUGUUAGCCACCAUAUAUGCUAGUCGCUUGGUGCAGCUCCACCUCAUACCUUUUACCUUACCCAUAAGUUUAAAUAGUCUUGAUCACGACGGUGCGAGAUUGCCGAGUCCCCGUGGCUCACAGAUACUUCAAAACCAGCUUGCAGGUGCCGAUGAGACCGUGCAGUUGACGCAACCAAGCUCAGGAGGAGCUCAAUGAAGAUCUUGUCCUUUGUGGUGUUUCGUUCUAGUUGAUCAGUAGUGGAGCCCAGUUGGGGUCGAUCGGGGACCUUGUCGCAUUUGGGGUUCUUCUUUUAUUUUGGUUCCAUAGUCGGACCUUGAUUGUAUUUGGAUGAUGUAAUGCUUUAUUCAUGUAAUUGUGUGAAGUGGCGAUUGUAAGCCAACUAUGUAUCUUCUUCCCCUAUUUUAUUACAUGGGUUGUGUGAAGAUUACCUCACUUGCGACAUUGCUUUCAAUGCGGUUAUGCCUCUAAGUCGUGCUUCGACACAUGGGAGAUAUAUCCGCAUCGAGGGCAUUACAAGUUGGUAUCAGAGCCUUCCCCGACCUUAGGAGCCCCAUUGCUUGAUCGUUAUUAGCAGCCGAGUUGUGUCUAGAAAAAUGUUUUGAGUCAUUUAGGAAUUAUAUAUCGGAGAGUUUAAGAAUUCUUUUUACUUCCCAGUCUCCUCAUCGCUCUGGUAAGGCAUCCUGACAUAGAGUUUUGACUCUUCUCUUCUCAAAUUUCACUAAAUUUUUUUUAGGAUCACGCGGGUAUAUUGGAAUCGUUUCGAUGGUUUUGUGAUGAGAACAUUGUCUUGGUGCUUCCUGUCAGGGGUUUUGUGGAAGUGUCCCGGGGAGUUGAGCUCUGAGGUGUUGUCGUCACAAUUUUAUCGUUGCAGUUCUGGAAUACCUGAGUUUAGUUCGCCGACAUCGAAAAUUAUUUUAUGCAGUUGUUGGUGAGAUAACCUCGACGCCACCCAGUACUGGGGCGGGAGUUCGGGAGUAUUGCCAUAACUCGUAUAAUGGAUGCUUUUUGAAGGUUGAGGUAGAUGAUUUCCGAAGGUUUCUUGGUUAUGUGUUGAAGGAUGGAUACAGCUGGAUGUAGGAUUUGCUAGUUUGGGUGAGACAUUAUGCUUCCCCUGUAUCCCCAACACCUGAUUGCAUAACCGGAAAGUUUCGGGAGUUUAUAAGUGGGAAUUCAAGUAGCUCUUAGGAUAUAUUUCCAACAGAUAUAUGAUACGAAAUUGGGGUUCGACGUCUAGUGGUCCGCCUAUCCAUAGUUGGUUUUACAGUGGUCUCCUUGUGUCUUAAAGAGUCCUUGGCUCUGCCGACUCGGGGACGCUUCGUAUGUCAUGUGCACUGCCUUGUACAUGAUGAUGCUGUACGAUCGAACCCGUGUAGGCCCCACCACAAAAACUUCGGACGAAAUCUCUAUCAGAUGUUUGUUCCGGCUUAUUUUGCAAGCCAAUCCUUUGUUUUGUUUUGAGUUGUGGUAUUCGAGUUGCUUCGAAGUCAAAUGUUGAUUCCAUACCUUUUCCUAAGCGGUAUUCUCAUACUCCGAUGUGAAUACAAAUCCUUCACGAUAAUCAAGAUUGUCAUGUCAAUCAUUUUCAACCGGCAUUGUUUUCUCUUCAAGUGGAUCCGAUCAUUUCAACAUCCGCUAGAUCAAGUAUCAGUUCUUCUCAACGGUGUUUGUUUCAUCCAUCUCCAAGUUCCCUUUGUUUUUGCCGCCCACCCACCCUUUUUCUUCAAGGAAUCCGAUGUUUUAAUCAAGUAUCCUUUAUAUUCUUGUGAAGUCUCCCCAUUCCUUUUCCGUCAAUGUUCUUAUCCGGUGAUUCUCAGGAAGAUUCUAAUGGAGCUUCAAGUUCGUCAUUCUUCAUUAUUUUCAUCUAUGGUGGUUUCAAGUCAAGCUUUGUUGAUCAUAUCCUUUCCUCAUUUCAAUGUUUUCUCAUGCGGGUGCAUUUCUUAAUCAUUCACCUCUCGCUAUUCAAUUGUUCCAGAGUGCUGAAGAUAUCUCAGAAGGAUCAUCUUGUCAUUCAAGAUCCGUUAAUCCUAUUUUGAGGAUGUUUAUCUCAUUCAAGCCUUUUAAUUCAACCAGUGCUACCUCUCUUUUAAAUUGUUCUACGGUGUUUCUUUUGAGUGGGCCCUAACCCACAGGUCUUUUCCCAGGAUCUUACCUAACUCUUCUAAUCUUUCCGGAGUUAUUCUGUAAGUCUUUUCCAAGUUUGACGUAAGAAUGAUUCAUCAUCAGUCAUAUGUAUUUCUCCAAGAUCUUUCAAAUUCUUUUCAUAGUUGGCUCAACCUCUUCGCUUUUGUUUCUUCUGGAGUGCCUCAAUAAUUCAUGGUGGUGUCUCUCAUCGUCUUUCAUAACACUUGAAGACCGAAGAAGAAUUUUUUUCCUCCAUAUCUUGCUCCAUUCUCUUCAAGAUUCGUGAUUCUAGCUUGUUGCCAUCCUCUCAUACUUGUUUUCGGAUUGUGAGAAUUCUUUUCAACUAUCCGGAGCAAAUUCAAGAGUCUUCUCAGUUUUUUAUCCGGAGUCCUUCAAUUCAGGUUUAUUCAUUCUCAGUUUUCAGCUCUAGUUCCCCAAAUCUCACCGGUGCAUCAUUCAAUAUUCUUUAAUCAGCUCGUAAUCUCUUCGUUCUCAUGGAUCUAAAUCCUCACAAGUAUCUUCGUUCAUUUCAUAAUUCUUCCCGGUGUUUCUUUAUCUUUACUUCGUUCAUUUUUAAUUCUUACGAUGGUUUGAUCAAGAUUCUUCUUCCUUCAUUAUCAUAUCCAUUCUUUCGUUCUUUCAAAUCCUACCGGUGGAUCAUUGAAGGCCUCUUCAAGUUUGCAAUAUCUAUCUUAAUCCUCUCUACAAGAAUAAGUAAUAUGCCAAAUCCGCUGCUUGUCAUCAAUUUAAAUUGGUGAAGGAUAAGCAUAAUGUAAUUCUUAUUCUUGUUUCAUCAAGUAAAAUCAAUUUCUGCCUUCCGGAGUGGUUCAUCAUAUCACAUUCUCGAUUAGAGAUGUGUUAUCUUUCCUUCCGGAGCCCCAAGUUCCACUUUAUCUCGUCGCAAAGCUUCAUCCAAUCAUUACAAGGUUUCACCUUGUGUUUUCAACUUCCCUUUCUUUUCGUCAUCCUUUUGUUUACCGGAGUUCUUCAUCAAGGUGCUACAUGAUGGUUCAUCAAAGAAAUAAUUCCUUCUCCAAGUGUUCUUUGAGAUUCUUUUCAAAGGAGCUCAAGCUUUCUUCAUCUUGCAAUCUGGAGUGCAAUUCUUUCUUCCGUAUCAAUAGAGGUGGUAUUAUGUCAUUCUUGAUAAUUUGAGUUCGUGUUUCAUGAUUCACAUCUUGUCAAGAAUGAGAUAUUUUCAAUCCACCAAUCUCUUCAUUGGAAUUAUCUUGGGUUAUAUUUCACCUAAAGCCUUCCCUAAGGGUUGUUGCUACGUAUGGCGCUUAUAAAGGACCCAAGUUCUUCUUUAUCCUCCCGGUGAAAUACUUCCUCGUCUCCUUGUUCUUAUCAAUCCAAUUCUUUUUCCCGUGAGUGGCAGGUUGUCACCUCAUAAUUUUGAGAUGUAUUCCAUAAGACCAUAUCAAGAUUGUUCUUUUCGUUGUUGGUGUUCCAACAACUCCGUUCGACCCUUCUCCUAAGGAUACCUUUUCAAGCUCUUUUGUAGCAGAAGUUGGCAUUUUCUUCUACAUUCUUUUGUCUCAAUUAUCUUUAUUCUAUUCUUUCUCCCGGAGGUCUAGUGUUGUUGCUCUUUUCACUCCUCAUCUCGGUUUGUCAAGAUUAUGUUCAAUUUCUUCCAUUUACAGUCGAAGUGCUGUCCAAAUUAUAUCAUUAUUAUGCCUUCUCUGUCUUGUUUUAACCGGAGUGUUGUGUCAUCUACUCAAGUUCUUUUCGUCUUAUAAAGUCUUGCAUCUUGUUUCAAUCGGAGUGCUUGCAUCUACUUCUUGUCCAUUGUAACCUUUUCUUAUGUCUUUCAACCCACAAGGUUCCCGUAAUGUUCCUCCUUUCUAAGGAAGUGUUUUCAACCUCGCUCAUCUUUGUUGUAUUAUUUCUUUCAAUUUGUUCAACCUCUCAAGGUUCUUUCGUUUCAUUCGUUUGUCAAAGAAGCAACUUAGCCUUACCUCUUCUCUUUCUCUUCCAUUUUUCCCUCCGGUGCCAUUCUAGAUCUCGGGACGAGAUCCUCUCGUAGUGGUGGAGUGUUGUAACGCCCCAAGACCGGAGCUUCAGAUGCCUUCCAUGUUUCCGGGUUUCGUCGUGGUUCAUCGUUUUCAUCUUUGCAUCAUAUGCAUUUGCAUCAUGUCAUCAUGUCUUUAAUCUUUGCAUCUCAAUUCAAAUAAAUAAAUCGUAUGGAUUUUCAGUCCAUUUAAACCGAGGGAAUUCACCUGGUGACUUCUCUUUAUAACAUACCCUCCCGAUAGUAGGGAGCUAUAUUAAAUAUUCCAUUUGUUGGAAUUCACCGGAACACACUUGCAAAAUAACCCCAUGCCUUUUGUGCUUCGAGUUGAUCCCCAAACCUUGCCCAAUAAUUCUUUUCCCUUUUAUCGGGGCUCCUCCAAAAUUCCCAACAUUUUUGGACCUAUCGCAUACUGACUUCGUUCUCACACUCAUUUGAUUUAAAUUCAAAUGAGUUUGAAUUCAAACUCCACACGUGUGCUCUUUCCUAUUUUCUGGGAACAAGCUCUUUUUUUUGUGUCCGGGGAAAUUAACCUCCGGCGCAAAUUCUUUUCCUAACCUCCCUCUUUCCUUUUUCUUCCCCUUAAUUGUUUUCUGCUAAAGAAAAUAGGAAGAGGAGAGAGAGAUACCUCCUGCCAAGCUGGCCCAACCAUCCCCACGACCCAUCUAGGUCAAGCCAGUCUGCUUAAGGCCCACCUGCGGCCUGACCUAGCCGGCCCAAGGCCCAGCCGCUACACCCUCUCUCUCCCUCGAUCCCCUCCUCCUCACGCCGCCAGGGAGUUACCCGACCCCCAUCCCUGUUCGCUCGAACCCCCUCGCUCUUCCCUUUCGAUCUUCAAUACCAGCGAGCCACGCCUGGCGCCUCCAGCUACGUCACACCGGCCGGCCACCGGAGCUAUUGCCGGCUGCCGCCCCACCACUCUUUCCCGUGCCAGAUCCCAUAUCCCUUCCAUCCUCCUCGCGCGCCGUGCACAGGAGAGAGAUCUCGACCCCAUCUCCUCCCCACGCAUGCUGCUCUCCUGCCCAUUGUCCGGUCCGCCCCCGCACCGAACCUUCUCCUUGACGCCGGCCCGGCUGCCGAGCGUCGCCUCUCUGCACGGCUCCUUCCCCAUGACCCCGAGCUCCAUGGCGCCGGCCUCCCUUACAUACCAUCGUCAGCAGCCCCGCUGCUGCAGUUCAGAGGCAAGCCCCUCCGACCGCGCCAACUCCGGCGCCCCUGCAGCCUCUCCUCCGACGCCGGCGAGUAGAGGCCGCCGCCGCGCCAUCUUGCCGCUGCUCUUAUGGUUCUCGGCGACCUCCAUGUCCUGCUGGACCACUCCUUGCCCCGUUGCCGCUUGCUACCAUUGCCCAAGCGCAUGUCACCUCGACCACCGCCUCGCUACCCUCGUGCGCCUCCACCUCUGUUGCCUCCGAUGGUGGCUGUUUCAUUUCGGGCUUCGUGGAAAAAUCCUCUCCGACAAGUGUACGAGUACACAGUGUCGCGUCCAGUAUCUCUACCGACGUCCCCUGAAUCGACAAGUACCAGCUUCACCACCGAACCAGGACGCCAAGUUCCGCUCCGUACGUGUACGACUACACCCGGUGAUGCGACAAGCCCCGACGUGUACAUCUACUCCAUCAAGACCGGACCGACAAGUACCCCAACGUCUUGUGUACAACACCGUCGCCGAAGACCCGGGUAGCAAAACGUCAAGUACCUAUGACCGAAGAACGCCAUGUACCUCUCCGAAGAAAACCGAACAUGUACCACUACGUCCGGAGGCAUCGGAUCCGUCAAGUUCCACUACUGCCGUGAACAAAUACCAUCGCCGAGAUCGCGAGAACCUCUACUUCCUCCUCGAAACAUGAACGACUACCGUCGACCCGAAGUGACUCUGAUUCAUCAAGUCCUUCUACGAAAACGCGAACCACUACCGUCGCGAGUACCUCUACCGUCGUCGUGUACCCCCUACUUCCACCACGUCCCGAGAACGUAUACUUCCUCUACUUGGCACCGAACGAGAACCGGCCCGUUUGCACACUUCGAAGGUAACCAUCGAGACGAUGCCCGUGAACGAAUGCAUGUGUGAUGUUUGAGAUGCUUGUGUUUGCACCAUGUCCAAAUGGUCACUCGUUUCCUUGUCGCCAACUCAUGGGACACCCGGUAUCUGGGAGUGCCCCACCAUCUUUUGUACGCAUCCACACACUUCUCCUUUGCAUCGGUAUCUCAAUCGAGUUACCGGAACUGGAACGCUGUCGUGGCACCGUUUUCAUUAUCGUUGCCGUGGCACCCCUUUUCUUUCCACCACGGUGACAAAUGCUUCUUAUUGCUCUUGUCAACUUUAAUAAAAAUUGCAUAAACUUGAACAUGUCAUCCGCAUCAUGUUAACAACUUUAAGAUGGUUAAAAUUUGUUGUUGCUUUAAAAAUUGCUAAUGCAUAUGGGGACUUACCGGAUUUGUUAUUUGUUAUAUCCGGCCCCAUUUAAAAUGUUUAGAUGAUAUAGUUUUGUUAUGCUUCACCUCUUGCCAUGUUAACCAACAUUUAAUAUUGUGGAGUACCUAACCGAGAGAGAACUAAAUAAUUGAUGUGGUGUUCCGUCAAUAUGCAACCCGUUGCAUAUUGAGCUCCACUUAACUUGUAGUGUUGUUUGUGCACUUUGCCAUGCCAUGCAUAAUUAAACCGGACAUGCAUCAUACUUGGUUGUGCAUCUUGCCAUGUUUAUGUGUUGGUUGUUUACUAUGUUGUGUGCUUCUUUCCGGUGUUUGCUUCUUCGGGUUGGAUCCGGUAACGUCGUGUUGUGAGGAUCCGUUCGUCUACGUCCGUUUGUCUUCUUCAUGGACUCGUUCUUCUUCCUUGCGGGAUUUCAGGCAAGAUGACCAUACCCUCGAAAUCACUUCUAUCUUUGCUUGCUAGUUGCUCGCUCUUUUGCUAUGCCUAUGUUGUGAUACCUACCACUUGCUUAUCAUGCCUCCCAUGUUGUUAAACCAAGCCUCUAACCCACCUUGCCCUAGCAAACCAUUGUUUGGCUAUGUUCCCGCUUUGCUCAGCCCCUCUUAUAGCGUUGUUAGUUGCAAGUGAAGAUUGAAGCUUGUUCCAUGUUGGAACAUGGAUAUUUUGUUGGGAUAUCACAAUAUCUCUUAUUUAAUUAAUGCAUCUAUAUACUUGGUAAAGGGUGGAAGGCUCGGCCUUAUGCCUGGUGUUUUGUUCCACUCUUGCCGCCCUAGUUUC
rnacentral:lncRNA from 1 species